CCAGACUUCUCUGAAGUCAUCCUGCUUUUCAUUUCUUAUAGAGCAAUAAUAUGGGACUUUUGAUUGAACCCCCUAGGUAAAGGUCUCUAGUAACCCCACCAUUAUCCAAUUAGAAAACCAAGUUAUGAUGUCAAAUUCCUGAGGGUAUAUUUCCCCUAUAAAAGAUCUGCUCAUUCAUAAGAUCCUUCCUCAUCUCUUUUCAAGAUUAGCCCUCUUGCUAAGUUGCCACAUAGCAAACUCCUUUUUAGAGCUAGCCCCACCAGCCAGGGGUAUAGUUCUGUCUCAUGGCACCAUUCUUCUUGUUAUAGCUAAUUCUUUGGGGACUUAGCUAACUUUUCUGGGAAUGUAGCUCGCUUUUAACAUUGUUAAAAAAAAAAGUGCCCCUUGAUUUGGAGGAUGUCUAAGCCUACAAAUUCUUUUGAAGCAACUCUCAACACCAAUCCAUAACUUUAUACAUUUGGGGUUCCAUACCUAUAACCUCAAUAUUUUGGUGGCCCUGUGGGGAGAGUUUGACUUGACUUCCUCCAUUUCAAGGUAAGUCCUUUUUCUUUUCCUUCAUUUUCUUUUUAUUCUUCCAUUGCUAGGACCAGUUGAGUCAUUAGUGAGCUUCUGUGCUCUAUGCUCAAGCAUAAUUCCUUUGACUGGGGAUGCCUGGUCUUGGGAACACUUGUGAUUUGGGGCAUGCUUCCCUUUGGAAACAUUUGUCACUUUCACCUCUCUAGGCUGAUUUUUUCCUAGGGUAGACAAAUUGCUAUAGGAGUAGAAAAUAGCAACUUUUCUCUGUGGCUUGUGGCAAAAAUGGGAGGGGCAAUCUCUGUUCCUAAAGAUUCAUCCUUAUGCUGUCUCUUAAAAGAUAGAGACAAAUUUGGCCAAAAAAUUCACAAAAAGAAGAGGCUUAUUUUCUGUAAUCAAGCCUGGUCCAAUAUAACUAGGAGGAUCAAGAAAAUGGCCUGUCAAUGGGUCUUAAAAUUAUAAUAUUAUUUUGCAGCUUGAUGUGUUUUGCUACUUAGAGGACAAAUGGACUGAAGUUCCAUAUGUCCUGGCUUUCAUGACUUUAUCUCAGGAUGCUAAUUUAAGACAACUGUGUAGAAUGUUACUAGCUAAAUUUGGAGGAGGAGAAUUGAAAGUGGAGUCUGAAAAGGAUUUCUUAAAUGAUUCAUCUUUUCUCUGCCUUUCUGGAGCCACAAGCUCCCUGUUCCAUUCCUUUGUGUGCCCUUUCCUAGGAGGCUCAGAAAUGCCUCCCAAGACCAUCUCCCCAUUGGAUUCCGGACUCUCUGUCCAACAAGAUUUCCCCAAUUCCCUUUCCUCAAAUACUUACAACCCGAGCAAGCUUUUACAACUUCCCAAACCCUACUCCUCAGCUUCUCCCAAACAAGAAGUGGGACCUUUUUUCCUCUCUUCUCAAGACCUUGAUUCAGACACCCUUCCUAAAAAACUCUGCUCAUUAAAAGAAGUAGCAGACUCUUGGGGAUGGAACAAUCAGAGUACAUAUAUACUCUUCUCUAAUGUCAAAUCUUUUCUAAAUUAAGGAAAAACUUGGUUGUUACUUUGAAGACCACACCAAGUUUUACUGAGGGCUUUAAAGCUAUUUCCCUUCAAUUUUAUCUUCCUUGGGGAGAUGUUAAUAUCAUUGUUUCCUCCUGCUACAUAACAGAGGAGAAAAGGAGGAUCUAGGAUUUAGACCAGAAGAUUGGUGAUAAUUUAGCAGUCCUCCCUUUCAAAAUAUCCCCCAUUGACUAUUGCUGAACCAGUUGCAGACCCAGGGUGGGAUUGCCAAGAAGGAAGCAGAGAUGGAGAAAAAAAAUGGAUUACAUGGCUGGACCUGUCUCACUGGAGGUGUAAAGAAGGGAAUUAAGAAGCAGGUUAAUUAUGAGACACUUAAGGAAGUUACUGAGGAAGCUGGAGAAAAUUGUAGAGGUUCUUAAAACACACACACACACGCAAAUUUGGACCCCAUUUCUCCUGAAGGGGUCACUGUCCUUAGCAGCAUUUUAUUAGCCAGUCUACCCCAGACUUUCAAAGGAAGUACAAAAGUUAGUCAUGGAUCCCCAAAUUCCCCAGGCCCAGUUUUUGGAAACAACUUUUGGAAUCUUCAACAACAGGAACAAAGCUGCAGCAGAGGGGUAAGACUGAAAUCCUAAGGCUAGGAAUGGGAAAAUGGCUCAGGUUUUUGACUGCCACCGUAUCUAGUACCCAGAAGGGACUCACUCAUGGAGGUUUAUGCUUUGGAUGCCACAAAUAGCACCAUUGGUCUCAAGACUACCCUCAGAAGAAACCUCCAGGCCCAUGCCCUGUGUACAACCAGGAGGAGCACUGGAAGAGAGACUGCCCACAGGGACAUUGGCCUGCCUCUUUCUAUUUCUCUGCUUCCUGAUCUUUUUAAGACCAGGAAUGAGGGGGCCCAGGAAAUGGCCAGGAUCCCCCAAUGAUGAUAGCUGAACUCUGGAUAAUUUUGGAUGCUGCAGGUGUCAGUAUCUCAUGAAGACUGAAGCCAGAAAGGAAUUUACAAUCCUUGAUUUAAAAGUCUCUAAAGUAUAAGAUUCUGAUUCCAUGCCAGUCUCCUGUAAUUUCUUCAAUUCUCCCUGUUAAAAAAAAGCAAAAUGGGAAAUAUCAAGUGAUUCAGGACCUUAGGGCUGUUAAUGAGGCUGUCGUUCAUAUUCACCCAGUAGUGUCUACUAUUCUUACUUAGACUCCAGGGGAUACACAGUGGGUUAUGAACCUUACAUCUUACAAGAUGCCUUCUUUUGCAUACCAUCCCAUAAAGACUCACAAUUUCUUUUUGCUUUUGACUGGCUAUCUUGGGGGUAUCCAACCCUCCACUAGCUGACAUGAGCUAGAGCUUCCAGAACAAAUCCCAUUUUUUGCUCAGGCUUUGGGGAAAGAUUUAAAGCAUCUGAAACUGACUGAUAGCAGUCCAAUACAGUAUGUAGAUAACAUUCUUAUCUGCAGCCCAACUCUGGAGGCUUCUCUGGCCACAGCCGUACCACUCUCAUUUUUCUAGAACAGGGUUCUCAACUAUCCAUAUCCAAGGCACAUAUUGCCCAUCAAUCUGUUAAGUAUCUAUAUCAUGAACUGACUCCCACCUCUCGUUCGCUCACUGCAAAGAGAAAACAGGCUAUCUUGUCACUUCCUGAACCAACCAUAAAGAAACAGUUGUGCACAUUUCUAGGUGUGGCUGGAUUUUAUAGGAUCUGGAUAACCAAUUCUAGUCAAGGCCCUGACACACUUUCUCUAGACUGGGGAUCUGACCAGGCCAAGCUUUUGAGACUUUGAAAAUUAAAUUGACCUCUUACCCAAUUUGGAAAAACUUUUAUUCUGAAUGUUAAUAAAUGGUGUGGUCAAGUUUUAGCAGUUUAAACUCAGUCCCCUGGCACCAUAGCCUUAGAAUUGGGGAAAUGACUGAAAGUUAACAUCUAUACUGAUUCCAAAUAUGCUUUUCAUGUUUUACAUGCCCACAAGGCUAUAUGGGAAAUGCUACAAUUACUACAAGAUGUCCAUGAACCUAGAGAGGUUUCUGUUAUAUUUUGUAAAGGACAUCAAAAGGGGAACUCACUUCAGGCCAGAGGAAACAGGCUAGCUGAGUUAGCUGCCUGAUCUGCUGCAGUCUGCCCCUCAUAAUGGCUCCACUACUCCCCCAGCUCCCUUGCUCUUAUAUACCUUCCUAUAGUCCCCAAGAACAGGCACUUGAUAAGAAGAAGGAAUAUACUCUUUCCCUCUCUGGGCAGUUUCAAAAACCCUCAAGGCCAGCUUCUAAUCCCAGAAACAAACUGUUGGAAACUUCUUUUUGGCCUACACCAAGCCACUCAGGAAAGAAUGCUCUCCAGACCCGUAGGAACUUUUUGUUAGGGACAAUGAGCACUGCUCUCCCUUUGAUAUGUGACAUGGAGCCUGUGUGCUAGGUCAGCUGGUAGGGGGGCCCAGGAGAUAAAAAAGAGGUUUGGCCCCUGAGGCAAGAGGUUGUGUGUCUGGCAGGAGUUAAAGGGACUACUAUAGGUUUCUUGAGAUGGCGAGGAAUGUGUCCUCUUGCUAGAUCUUCUUCUGGGACACAGCAUUGACAGCCUCCUGUCUGGGCCUCUACCUACACAGUUCUGAGUGGGCUGGGCAUGGGCAACCCUGCAAGAGAGGCAGUAUAAAUAGACAACCCUGAGCAGAGCUUGCUCUCUUGGGCUCUUGCUUCCUGCUGCCCCCACUGAGAGGAUGAUUGAAUAAAGACAGAAUGGUUGCACCUCCUGGUGGGUCUGUCUCUGUGUGAUCUGGGUUGAAGCCUGAAGGCAAGUGAGCUGACGUAGUCGUGGCCACCUAUGAAUGGACAGAUAGAGUAGCUUUAAGGAGCACUACAACUGGUGACUUAACAGGGACUAUGCGAUUGGACCUCACCGGGUAGCAGGUCUACAGAGUGAGAAGGGAGACAGAGUGAGUGGAACGUUUGGUAUGGGAAAAAACUAUAGUGAGGGUUCCAGAUUAAGAGGUGCUAAGGAAAGAAGUUUAUAGAAUAAUAAAGCAAGCAGGAUUGGAAAUGAAUUUUUUAAAAUGGGAAGUAAUAGGUGGUCGGAUGGCUUCCUAUGAUAAGGAAACUCAGGGAGCCAUCCAGGAAUGACAUCAAGUGAUUGGGGGCACUUUAAGAGGUGCAAGCCACAAUCCAUUAAAAGUAGAUAAUGAAGUGCAAACAGAGAGUCAUAAAACAAAUGAGAGUCAUAAACCGGCACUCACCUGGACUAAGUUCUCCCAUAAAAUAGAGUAGGUGGAAGUUAGCUGUGGGAAAGAAUCAGGAAGUAAACAAAAAGAUGGAGGUGGAUGUGAUGAAAAAGAAGAGAUAGUGAGGAAGAAGUAGGAAGUGGAUAUAAUGGAACAGGAGGAGGCAGGAAUAAGAUGAGGAAUGAGGAAGUAAACAGAGGGAUAUAUGACUUGGAGAAAAAAGAUGGUGAUAAGGCAAGGGAGAAGAAAGGGAAUAGAGGAAAGGUCUCCUCUUGUCUCCAAGGCAUGGCCUUCUUCCCCAUUCCCCACCAUCCCUGAGGAGAUAUGUCUCCCGUCCACUCCCUCUGUCCCCUCUUGUGGAGGCUUUGGAGAUUCCCAGACAAGUUUAGGACAAAUGAUACAGAAAGCUGGAAGGUAUGAAAGAAAUGAGGAUCAAAGGCAAUAUGAUGCAGCACUAUAUGCAGCUGUGUCUCAGUGUGCCCAAUGACCAUUUAGCAAAAUUCAAGCUUCUGGAAAACAGAGGUCCCCAAUGACAAAGAUUAAACAGGGCCCAGAUGAGCCUUUCCCUGAUUUUGUGGCCCGCCUAUAGGCAGCUAUUGAGAGGUCAGUGGGCAGAGGAGAAGCCUGCAGCCUCCUUAUACAGAAAUUGGCAGGGGAGAAUGCUAAUACUAACUGCCAGAAGGCCAUGCUUACUUCAGAUGGGGAGCCUGGCCUGGAAGAGAUAGUAAAGAGAUACAUAUCGGCUCCAGUGCCUUUCAAAUGGAUGCCCUCACAGCUGCUAUAUCUAAAAGGGUUGCAGGAGAAGACCUGCCCUGGCAGUUUGCAAAACAAACAGGAGAUGUUCCGACCCCUGGUGGUCACAGGUCUUGGGUUCAAUCAAUGGGGCAGGGACAUAUUGGAGGCUUGUGGGGCUUCAGUUUAUAUACCACAGGAUUUUUAAUUGGGGUCUUUGGGUGUUCAGCACCACCUUUCAUAUCACGCCCACACCAUUAACAUGGAAACCUAACACCCCAAUUUGGGUACCUCAAUGGCCCCUCCCAGUGGAAAAAGCCCAAGUCUUAUGUGAAAUUUUGCAACAACAGUUGAAGGCCGGACAUAUAGAACCAACAUCCAGUCCAUGGAGUAGCCUUUUCUUUGUUAUGAAGAAAAAAAAAUUCAGAAUGCUAGUGGACCCUAGGGCUAUUAAUGCUACUAUGGUAGCCCUACAGCCUGACAUGCCAUCUCUUCAUCUAGUACCCACCGGCUGGCCAGUUACAGGAAUAGGCAUACAAGAUUGUUUCUUCUCCAUCCCUCUGGGCCCAGAAGAUAAAAAAAGAUUUGCUUUUACCAUUCCCUCCAUAAACAAUGCAGGGCCUGAUCUGCAUUACCAAUGGAAAGUUCUCACCUAAGAGAUGUGUUGUAGCCCUACCUUGUGUCAGACAUAUGUAGAGCAAGUGCUAGAAGCAAUUAGGAAGGUGUGGAUUCAUGCCAGGAUACUGCAUUACAUGGAUGAUAUACUGUUAUCAAGGAGCAAUAGGAAAGAGAUCUCUGCCCUCCUUAAGGAGACCAUGAGCAUUCCCGCUCAACUAGUGGUAGCUCCAGAAGAGACCCAACAUAACUAUCCCACCAUUUACCUGGGGCUCCUCAUGGGGACUUCUGCAGUUACUAAUCAGAUACCUACCUUACAAUUAGACAAGGUGAAUACUCUGAACCUAUUUCAGAAACUAGUUGGACAAAUUCAGUGGCUAAGGACUUGAGCCCCUAUUCCUGCUUCUCUAAUGCAGCCUUUAUAUAACAUUUUGAAAAAAAAGAGUCUGAUCUAAACUCCCCUCGUAAAUGAACCUCCUUCAUGAAGGACACAAUUUAUAAGAUCAUUGUUCUUGCUUCUAAAUCUGGAAUGGGGAGAUGUCUGGACCCCAUGUGUCCCAUAAAGGUCUCUUUAAUAGACAAAGUCCUUUCACAGUAUUACAUGAAGGUAAAAAAAAAUUGGAAUAUGUGUACAUGAAACGGCCACAGAAAGUAUUACCAAACCAUAUUGAAAUGCUGGGAGAACUUGUCCUUGAGGCAGUAAAAGGAGCUUCUCACCUAACAGGGAAAAAGACCCUUACUGUAUUUACCCUUUGAACCAAGAGCUAGAGAAGUCAUGAUGCAAACAUGUUGGCCAUCAGUGCAUUGUGAUCAAUGGGCUACACUAAGUUCCCAUUCUACAUGCUUAUCCUUCCUUUGCUAUCCCAUAUUCUGAUACAUCCCCCUUGUAAGACGAUUGUUGUAAGAACCACAAGGUUUUUAUGAGCGCUCAAAAGAGAUUCUGGUGUUGGAGACUCCUUAUGAUUCCACCCAGAAAAAUGAGCUUUUUGUUAUUCUCCAGACCUGUAAAAGAUAUCCAGAACCCAUUAAUAUAUCAGUAGUUUAUAUGCAGUCUGGGUACUGAGAGGUAUUGAGGAUGCAAUCUCCUACAACCUCAGAACUCUUUAAUUGCUAAUGUUGCUGAACUGCAGCUGACUUUACUAGGAAACAUCCCAUUUACAUCCUGCAUGUAUACUCUCACCAGUGCUGUGCAGGAGGCAUAUUUGCAGGCAAUGAGAUGGUGGACCUUGCUUUACAAAGCUCCCUUCUCACGGUCACCACGCCCCCUGAACGUGUCCAUGAAUUUCUCCACUUACUCGCUAAUUCUCUACAUCACCUUUAUGGCCUCACCCAGGAACAAGACCGACUGAUAAGGAAGCAGUGCUGUUCAGUGUGUUCAGUUUCUCCCUCCUCCACCUAGUAAAGGAGUUAAUCUCCAGGGUUUAUUCCCCAAUGAUUUGUGGCAAAUGGAUGUGACACGUGAGCCGUGUGGCCAUCCAUAUCUGUAUUGACACCUUUUCUAAAUGCCUUUGUACCACAGUGGCCUCCCAUGAGAACACUUCUUCGGGCAUUAAACAUUUGUAUAGUUGCUUCUCCUCUUCACGGACUCAUGGAAUCCAGCUAAGCAAAUGACCACCUUCCUCAUGUUCACCAUUAAACAUGUUACAGGGAUUCCCUAUAAUCCACAGGGUCAGGUCCUACUGGAACAGGCCCAUCUCACUCUGAAGGCCACCCUUAUUACACAGAAAGGGGAAGGAAGUAGAACACCCUGAUGGCCCACACAGGCAAAUGUGGAUAAGGUCUUAUAGACUCACAAUUUUUUGUACCUGGACAGAAAUACUGGCCUCUCUCCAGGAAUACUUUUUGGCCAUAAAGGUGACUUAGAACAGAAAAGUAGGCCCCAUGAGAACAGUGCUUCAAGCACUAGAGAACAUUCAAAAUGUCCUUUGGAAGGACAUGGAAGGACAUGGAAGGACACUGGCAAAGUCCAUCCUUAGUACUUUGGACAGGGCCGGGAUAUUUAUGUCUUUGCAGAUCCUGAUGGGGAAAGCUGCUGGAUUCCAGAAAGAAGAAGGAAAGUUCCCCCUAUUAAAACAGGGGCUGAAGAAGAAAAGGAGAUGACCCAAGAAAUGCCUGAAAUAGAAUCACAGCGAAGAGAUAACUACCCUUGCCAGACCAACUUAGUGACUGGAUCCAGCACACUUCCUUUCCCAUCCCCUCCUAUUGUAUACCAUGGGCUCUAUGUAGCCAUUUUUGUAUUGUUGCUUCUUUUGCUUUUGCCUCCUUUGCUAGGAUAUUUUAUUCAUAUUCUUAAAAAUUCUAUAGUGGUGCUUAAGGAAGAGCUUCUCAUUCCUCCUCAUGAGAACAUUUGGUCUUAUUAAUAAAGAAAAGGGGGAGAUGUUAGGGGCAAUGAGCACUGCUCUCUCUGAGAUGUACCCUGGAGCAUGUACACCACUUCAGCUGCUAGGGUGGGCCCAAGAGGUGAAAAAGGAGCUUGGCCCCUGAGGCAGGAGGUUGUGGCUGGCAGGAGUUAAAGGGACUGAUAUAGGUUUCUUGAGAUGGCAAGGGGCAUGUCCUCUUGCUAGAUCUCCUCCUGGGAAGCAGCACUGACUCCAGGAGCCUCCUGUCUGGGGCUCUGCCUACACAGUUCUGAGUGGGCUGGGCAUGGGCAACCCUGGAAGAGAGGCAGUAUAAACAGCCCUGAGCAGAGCUUGCUUCCUGCUGCCCCCACUGAGGAUGACUGAAUAAAGACAAUGUUUGCACUUCC